UACGGGGGGAGCAAGCGUUGUUCGGAUUUACUGGGCGUAAAGGGCGCGUAGGCGGCCAGCACAAGUCAGUUGUGAAAUCUCCGAGCUUAACUCGGAAAGGUCAACUGAUACUGUGCGGCUAGAGUGCAGAAGGGGCAACUGGAAUUCUUGGUGUAGCGGUGAAAUGCGUAGAUAUCAAGAGGAACACCUGCGGCGAAGGCGGGUUGCUGGGCUGACACUGACGCUGAGGCGCGAAAGCUAGGGGAGCGAAUGGG
rnacentral:rRNA from 1 species